CCGUAAACGAUGCCAACUAGCGAUCCGCCGGUGGUAAUUACGCCCCGGCGGGGAGCUUCCCGGAAACGAAAGUCUUCCGGUUCCGGGGGAAGUAUGGUUGCAAAGCUGAAACUUAAAGGAAUUGACGGAAGGGCACCACCAGGAGUGGAGCUUGCGGCUUAAUUUGACUCAACACGGGGAAACUCACCCGGCCCGGACACCGUAAGGAUUGACAGAUUGAGAGCUCUUUCUUGAUUCGGUGGUUGGUGGUGCAUGGCCGUUCUUAGUUGGUGGAGCGAUUUGUCUGGUUUAUUCCGAUAACGAACGAGACUCUGGCCUACUAACUAGUGACUGGAUUAUUGCUGUCCAGGUUACUUCUUAGAGGGACAAGUGGUGUUCAGCCACACGAAAUUGAGCAAUAACAGGUCUGUGAUGCCCUUAGAUGUCCGGGGCUGCACGCGUGCUACACUGGAGGAAACAGCAUGCAAAACCAUUGCCGAAAGGCAUUGGUAAACCCAAGAAAAUCUUCCGUGAUCGGGAUCGGGAAUUGCAAUUAUUUCCCUUGAACGAGGAAUUCCCAGUAAGUGUGGGUCAUCAGCUCGCGUUGAUUACGUC
rnacentral:rRNA from 1 species